rnacentral:rRNA from 1 species
GAUGAACGCUGGCGGCGUGCCUAAUACAUGCAAGUCGAGCGAACGGACGAGAAGCUUGCUUUUCUGAUGUUAGCGGCGGACGGGUGAGUAACACGUGGAUAACCUACCUAUAAGACUGGGAUAACUUCGGGAAACCGGAGCUAAUAUCGGAUAAUAUUUUGAACCGCAUGGUUCAAAAGUGAAAGACGGUCUUGCUGUCACUUAUAGAUGGAUCCGCGCUGCAUUAGCUAGUUGGUAAGGUAACGGCUUACCAAGGCAACGAUGCAUAGCCGACCUGAGAGGGUGAUCGGCCACACUGGAACUGGGACACGGUCCAGACUCCUACGGGAGGCAGCAGUAGGGAAUCUUCCGCAAUGGGCGAAAGCCUGACGGAGCAACGCCGCGUGAGGGAUGAAGGUCUUCGGAUCGUAAAACUCUGUUAUUAGGGAAGAACAUAUGUGUAAGUAACUGUGCACAUCUUGACGGUACCUAAUCAGAAAGCCACGGCUAACUACGUG